rnacentral:rRNA from 1 species
UGGGGAAUAUUGCACAAUGGGCGAAAGCCUGAUGCAGCAACGCCGCGUGAGUGAUGAAGGUCUUCGGAUUGUAAAGCUCUGUCUUUUGGGACGAUAAUGACGGUACCAAAGGAGGAAGCCACGGCUAACUACGUGCCAGCAGCCGCGGUAAUACGUAGGUGGCGAGCGUUGUCCGGAUUUACUGGGCGUAAAGGGUGCGUAGGCGGAUGUUUAAGUGAGAUGUGAAAUACCCGGGCUUAACUUGGGUGCUGCAUUUCAAACUGGAUAUCUAGAGUGCAGGAGAGGAGAAUGGAAUUCCUAGUGUAGCGGUGAAAUGCGUAGAGAUUAGGAAGAACACCAGUGGCGAAGGCGAUUCUCUGGACUGUAACUGACGCUGAGGCAUGAAAGCGUGGGUAGCAAACAGGAUUAGAUACCCUGGUAGUCCACGCCGUAAACGAUGAGUACUAGGUGUAGGAGGUAUCGACCCCUUCUGUGCCGCAGUAAACACAUUAAGUACUCCGCCUGGGAAGUACGAUCGCAAGAUUAAAACUCUAAAGUGAA